rnacentral:rRNA from 1 species
UGGGGAAUCUUGCGCAAUGGGCGAAAGCCUGACGCAGCGACGCCGCGUGAGGGAGGAAGGCCUUCGGGUUGUAAACCUCUUUCAGGAGGGACGAAGCUACUCGGGUUAAUAGCCCAGAGGGUGACGGUACCUCCAGAAGAAGCCCCGGCUAACUACGUGCCAGCAGCCGCGGUAAUACGUAGGGGGCAAGCGUUGUCCGGAUUUACUGGGCGUAAAGCGCGUGUAGGCGGCCACGCAGGUCCGUUGUGAAAACUGGAGGCUUAACCUCCAGACGUCGACGGAAACCGCAUGGCUAGAGUCCGGAAGAGGAGAGUGGAAUUCCUGGUGUAGCGGUGAAAUGCGCAGAUAUCAGGAAGAACACCAAUGGCGAAGGCAGCUCUCUGGGACGGUACUGACGCUGAGACGCGAAAGCGUGGGGAGCGAACAGG